UAGCCAUUAUGUGGAUAAGUGUUUAGAAGUUCCUUAAACCUCUCAUAGCAUUGAAAGAAGGUUUCAUCCUCAUGUUGUGAAAAUUUUAUUAUGGCACUUCUGAGGGU